UACGGGGGGGGCAAGCGUUGUUCGGAAUUACUGGGCGUAAAGGGCUCGUAGGCGGCCAACUAAGUCAGACGUGAAAUCCCCAGGCUUAACCUGGGAACUGCGUCUGAUACUGGAUGGCUUGAAUUCGGGAGAGGGAUGCGGAAUUCCAGGUGUAGCGGCGAAAUGCGUAGAUAUCUGGAGGAAUACCGGUGGCGAAGGCGGCAUCCUGGACCGACAUUGACGCUGAGGAGCGAAAGCUAGGGGAGCAAACGGG
rnacentral:rRNA from 1 species